GAUGAAGAACGUAGCGAACUGCGAUAAGUAAUGCGAAUUGCAGAAUUCCAGUGAGUCAUCGAAUCUUUGAACGCACAUUGCGCCCUUUGGUAUUCCGAAGGGCAUGCCUGUUCGAGCGUCAUUAUCACCCCUCAAGCCCUCGGCUUGGUGUUGGACGGUUUGGUGGAGGCCCCCUCGGGGGUUCCUGCCCCUCCCAAAGACAAUGACGGCGGCCUCGUUGGACCCCCGGUACACUGAGUUCUUCACGGGACACGUAUCGGACACAUGGGUUUACGGGACACGGUCUGCCUCCCCUCAGGGAGAAUCUUUCUAAGGUUGACCUCGGAUCAGGUAGGGAUACCCGCUGAACUUAAGCAUAUCAAUAAGCGGAGGA
rnacentral:misc_RNA from 1 species